rnacentral:misc_RNA from 1 species
AACGCACCUUGCACGCGCUGGGGAACCAGCGCGUAUGCCUGUUUGAGAAUCGCCUACACCUUGGCCGCCAGCUGUGCGGCUGCGUUGGGGGUCAGGCCUUGGCGGUCCGUCCUCCUAAAUGGAGCAGUGGGGUCCUGCAGUGUCCUCUGUGUGCUGGAGACCGGUCGAGUCUACUCACGGGGGCGCGGCAUGUGCGCGUCUGGCUUUUGCCUUUGGCUCCUGCCUCUGGCUUUUGCCUUUGGCUCCUGCCUCUGGCUUUUGCCUUUGGCUCCUGCCUCUGGCUUUUGCCUUUGGCUCCUGCCUCUGGCUUUUGCCUCACCGCCAGCCCCGCUAACAGCAACCAACCACAACCACGAUCUCAAAUCAGGCAAGACCACCCGCCGAACUUAA